rnacentral:lncRNA from 1 species
UGCGCCACACCUGGAAGAGCAACUGCUGCCGCUGCGCUUCUGGGUGAAUGUGAUCAAGAACCCGCAGUUCGUGUUCGACAUCCACAAGAACAGCAUCACGGAUGCCUGCCUGUCGGUGGUAGCCCAGACCUUCAUGGACUCCUGCUCUACAUCCGAGCACCGCCUGGGGAAGGACUCGCCCUCCAACAAACUGCUCUACGCCAAGGACAUCCCCAACUACAAGAGCUGGGUGGAGAGGUG